UUUCCUCCAUGAGGAUCUUAAGAAUUUUACAAGUUUGAAUCUAGGCUAAAGAAUGCUCUUUGAUAAUCAACUGUGCCAUAUUGCUGGAAAUAGUUUUCAAAAGCUGAGCUUGAAAACAGAUCCAAAAUGUGAGUACAUUUGCAUCCUGGAAAGAGGCUUUAGCAGCAUGAAAACAAAAAGUACUAUGGUGCUAUUUUCUCUCCAAUUUCCUGGUCAAAGUCUAAAAUAA
rnacentral:lncRNA from 1 species